GAAAGAUGCAAAGCUCAGGAUUGAGCACAUAGGUGAAUCGUAUGACACUCUUUGUCCCAUGUACCCUCAGUGUGAGUGUGUUGCAGAAAGGAAAGAGCAGUCUGCAAUAGGAGGGAUUGGGAUCCUGAAGGAAAACUAGUCGGGUUGGGUCCUUUAGAAAGCAAUGCAAUUGACAAAACACAACCCAAGAGCUGGCAGCACUUCACACACAGAAAAUUUGUUAUGAUGUCGGAGAAAGAGGUGGAGAGAUGUUUGUGUACAAAUGCAAGACUAAAGGGAGUGGAAAGUGUCUCCCCACAGAGAAUCGUGACUGGGACAGGAGCCUGUUGGAGGGAGAGGAUGUCUGGUGCAUUUCUGCUCUCUCAUACCAGACCUUCUGAGCCUCUCUGCUCAGACCUUGAGGGCCACCAAGAUUACCUGCUGGGAUAUGUUUAUGGCUUCACAAAACCACCUUCAGAACCUGGCCUGUGGCUUGCAUACUGGAGUGUGAUCUUUCUGAGUGCAAUCAAGUGUCCACAUGACCUGUCCCUAGGAAUCUACCAACUGUACAGUAAGUGCUCAGGGAAAGACAGUUCUUUGUUUUUCUGCUCUUUCAGGUUUUCUGCAAACAUAUAGUUGCAGAAAAGGUCAAAGACAUUGCAUGGGGAUCUGGUAAAUAUAUAAAAAUCUGAUAAAUCAUCUGAAAACAUCAUUAAACAGUCCUCUGUAAAUACUUGGUGUCUUCUUGGCCAGUUAUCUCUUCCAGGAUGUCCAAUGAGUGGUGACUCUGCCCUGUAUAAAUACUUGGGGUGACUGUUCUUGGAUUCACCUGCCUGGACAGAAUCCUGCUCAUCACAAUGAGCUGCAAUUUUUCACUUUAAAAAAGGAGGAAACAAGUAGAAGAGGGAAGCAACUGGCACCUGGUUUGAAUCCCAAACUUGGGGGAGCUGAGGUGAGAACACAGGAGUCGCUUUCCAGGCAAGGAUCUCACAAAUGUGACUGUGUGGCAGGGUCACUGGGGGAGGGAGUUCUUUGAAAGACACUGAUCCUGACUCCACACAGACACUGAAUUAACUGCUCUGUAGUGAAGACAGGGCAAUGGAAAGACCCCUGACAAAUGCCCCUCCUGACCCCACACUCAUGGUUACCACACCUCAGGACUCAUUCUUUCUGGAUGCAAGAAGAAGUAAAUAAAGAGACAAGAAUGUAUGACGAUGGAAUCCAUGGGUGGGAUAAGCCUUUAGAGCACCUAUGAUUGGGGGGUGGGGCACAGACAUAAGCAUCAACACCAACAUUACCAGGAACCUAGACUCCGAGCUCAUGGCCAUACCGAGGCAGAGCCUGCCAGCUCCGUAUUUACCAUACACCCUGGGGUUACCCCUGAGUGUUAAAGCAUCACUGGUUCAGUCAGCUUUCUGGUAGCUCUGUCCAGGAGAUGAGAUGCAAAGGUAGUAGUCCCUGGCCACUAGCUCUUCUCCUCUGAUAGCUUAGUUCUGUGACUCAGUGAAAGAAGACCAUCAGAUUCCACAGGCACUGCAAGCCUCCUUCUCUAUACAAAGAACAAAAUUCCAUCUGAAAAACUGGUUUGGAAAAAAGAAAAUUGGACAUUUCUACUAAGGUUCAACUAAGAAAAUGGAGAAUGAGAUACAAAAAGCAACAGCGAAUCCCAAGUCCUGGUAUUGCUACAUGUAGUGAGCUUUGGUUUUCUUAAUAUUUUAAAUCAUUAAUUUAUUUCUUUAUAGAAGUGGAUCUAAUGCAUUUCAUUGGAGAAAAUCCACAAAAUAAGAAAAAGAGCUUGAAGUUGUCAUAUUUGCAACAUACUACCCCAAAAUGCCUUCCUGAAGUUUGACCCAAGCCCGGCAGUCUGUUUGUGAGCAUCUUUGUAUUCAUCACAACUGUCAUGGCACCUAGGCUGAUUUGUACCUGGCUUCAAGUCACUAAAAGAAAUCCAGUGAUUUUUGGAUCAUACCAUUUCUCCUUGCCAACUGUGAUUCUGCUAGGUUCUUUUCUGAGUCCCCAUGUUCUCAGACAGCUGCAACCUGUGCUAUUUGUGGUUUCCCAAUUUUCCAAGGCAUUAAGCAGCCUCCAUUUGAGUUAUUCUUUGUUUCACUAAUUUCUCAGUGUUCAUUGUACUGUAAACAUGUUUAAAUCCAUCCAUCAUUUUCUCAGUGAGGGCAGGUCUGGUUCCCUGGCUGGGUCACCUGAGGGAAGAAGAUUUACCCUUCAGAUCCAUUUGCCAGAUCACUGCAGGGAGGCCUCAGUGUGAGUCUCAGUCCAGGAUGAGGGUCCAAGUCCACUCACUCUCUGUCAUGACUGUCCUUACAUUACAGAAAGUUCUCUGGGGAAGCCUCAUGGUCCUGGCCACCUUCAUGACUUCAUGCAGUGCUUUUUGUUAUUUCAUUCCCAUGAAAGUAAGUGAUGUCAGUUCCCCACAUGUGUGCAAGUAUCUUGAUGGAAUCACAUACCCAAUGAAUUCAAAUUGGAAUACCAAGUACUGUGAGAACUGCACUUGCAAUGAGAGAGGAAUUAAAUGCUGCAAAAUAGCUGCUAUACCUCUGGAUUGUGACAAAAUUGAGUGUCAUGCCAUCUUCUACCAUCAGAACUGUACCUACACUGUGGUGGAGCAUCAGGACCACAGAAAGAACUGUGCUGUUGGCACCUGGAUGCUGUAAUGCCCUUCCAGUAAGUCCACAUCUCCUAG